AGUUAUAAUAGUUUAAAUCAAAACAUUGGUUUUGUAAACCAAAAUUAAAUCUUUAUAUUUUUAUAACUU
rnacentral:tRNA from 1 species